rnacentral:piRNA from 1 species
UCCUUCCAAGCAUCAGGGCAAAAAGAG